UAAGCCCAACUUAACAAAAUCCAAUAUCCCUAAAUUUUUAUUCACGCUGAAUCCCUAAACCUCGUUCACAAUUCAUAUUUUACAUUUCAAACUAAGUACUACCUGCGUGAGUGAAGACUGAAGAACAACCGCAAGUCUGCAACUGCCCGAGGCGGCGAUCCAUCGACCUGAACUCAUGAAGAAGAUGACAGAAACCCAAAGUAAGAUAAGUGAAACUGGGGCUUCAAAUGAAACCAUAUAUAAUACUCCAUAUUUGAAUGAAGUUGAAACGGACAUUGAAUCUUCAAAGAAAAGAAAAGCCAUGGAACCUAGGGCUGCUUGUUGGAAGCAUUUUGAGAAAUACAUCGAUAAAGAUGGAGCUAUUAGAGCAACAUGUAAUUACUGUGGAAAGUGUAUGUUGCUGCUACAAAAGGUAAUGAUACUUUGGCUAUGAAUAACCAUAUAACUAAUAAGAAGUGUCCUAACUUCCCCUCUGCCGUAGAUUAUGGUAAGAAGUUAAUAAAUUUCUUACCAUCUUCAAAGGGAGAAAAGAAAGGGGUGAUUCGCACUUUAAAAUUUGAUCAAGCACGGAGUAGAAGAGCUUUAGUUCAAAUGAUAAUUGUUGACGAUUUGCCAUUUGCCAUUUAGUAUUGUUGAGAAGGAAGGUUUUAGGAAUUUCAUGAAAGUUACAGCGCCACAAUUUCAUAUUUUUUCUCAUAGAAUUUUGACAAGAGAUUGUUAUGAACUUUAUAGUGAAGAAAAAAAAACUCAUGAAGAAGUCUUUCAAAGAAGCACAUCCAAAAGUUUGUCUUACGACAGAUACUUUGACCUCUAUUCAAAAUAAUCAGCUAUUGUGUCUAACAGCCCACUUUAUAGACAAAAAUUGGAACUUGCAUAAAAGAAUUAUAAAUUUUUAUCCUAUUUCUAGUCAUAAAGGUGAUGAUAUGACAGCUUCAAUUACGAAUUGUUUCCUUGACCAGGGUUUGCAUGAUGUGUUUACCAUAACCGUUGAUAAUGCUAGUUUCAAUAGUGUUACUAUUAAUGGAAUAUCUAAGCAACUAACUAAUUCGGGAACCAACAUAAUGGAGGGUCAGCAUCUUCAUAUGAGGUGUAUGUAUGACGCAUAUUCUUAAUCUUAUUGUGCAAGAAGGAUUGAAGGAAAUUGGUCUGUCAGUCAAGCGAGUGAGACAAGCGGUUAAAUACAUUAGACAAAAUUUGGCAAGAAAUAAGUGAAUCUCAAUUGAUAACUUGUAAGAAAUCAUUAUGUUUAGAUGUUCCUAUCAAGUAGAACUCUACAUACUUGAUGCUUGAUACUGCACAACACUUUGAACUUGCAUCUGAAAGAUAUAGUUUUAUAAUAUUAGGUUUCUUGAUUAUCUCCGUACCCAUGAUUGCGAAGAUGGAACUAAAGCAGGUAUCCUCACUAGUGUUGAUUGGAAAAAUGUGAGGUCGAUGAUUAAGUUUCUUGAAACAUUUUAUACACUUACUUUGAAGGUCUCUGGUUCAAAGUUUGUUACAAUAAUGUGCACUUUCUGGAAAUUACUGAGCUUGAUCUUAUUUUGAAAGAGAUGGCCGAAAAUGAAGAUUCUAAUUUGAAGAAUAUGGAAGAAAGUAUGAGAGAAAAAUUCAAAAGAAUAUUGGGGUGAAUCAGAUAACAUGAACAAAUAAUUUUUAUAUCAGUUGUGUUGGAUUCUCGAAACAAGCUUGAUUGUGUUCGUUUUGUAAUAGGUGAUAUGUUUGGAAAAGAAAUUGGGGAGUCACUUGCUGGUGCAGUGGAUAAAUAUAUGAAAGCAUUGUUUGAUCAUUAUGUUAAGAAAUCAUCAAAAGUCUCUUUAUUUUCAUCGUCUUCACCUGUUUCAUCUGGGAACUCAUCGAGUAUAUCUAGUGUGAGUGGUGAUGACAACUUUCAAAAAAAGAGGAUCAAUGAGAACGAAACAAGAAUUUGUUAGGCAUAAAAUAGUUAGUGGAAGUUCAAGUAGUAAAUCAAAGUUGGGUAAAUAUCUUGCUGAAGAUGUUGAGCUAGAGACUGAUGAUUUGAUAUAUUAAAUUGGUGGAAAUUUGAUGAGCCAGAUUUCCUAUUCUUGUUGAGAUGGCUCGUGACGUCACGAAACAUUCCUAUUUCAAGUGUCGAAUCUGAAUGUGCGUUUAGCACAGGCGGUCGUAUUCUUAAUCCUUUUAGGAGUUCACUGACUUAUAAACUAGUGCAAGCUCUUAUUUCUCUUCAAGAUUGGUAUAGAAGUGAACCAAUUCCAAUUAAUGUUGAGGAAGAUCUAGAGUAUGUUGCGCUACUUGAACUUGAUAUGGCUCAUAGUGGAAAUGAAUCUAGUAUUGUGGAUAUGUAGUUAUAACUAUCAAAAAGCAUAUUUAUAGUUUGAAUGUUAUUAUGGUGAACUGAUCGAGUUCUACUGUUGUUGUUGGACUCCAAUGAAAUGCACACAAGGAAUGGCUACUUUCUUCGGAUAGUGUUGGACUGCAGUAGUGUUGUUGUCUUGCUGAUUCUUAUUUUGUCUUUUUGGUUCUUUUUUUUACUGUUAUUGAUUUCUAAUGCUCUUGGUUUAUUAGUUUUUUGUUGCAUCUUGAAUACUCUUGGUUUCUUAGCUUUUUGUUGCAUCUUGAACUUGAAGUGUCACUUUGAAAUUUUGUUUUUCAAUAGUAAGUUAGUGAUUAGUGUUUCACCAUUCAUGUCUGUGUUAUUGUUAAUGUCUUGAUAUUCAAUUAUAAAUUGUGCAACGUGCACUUCGUUUUUGGCUUUUUGCACUUAGGUGCAAGAUAGACACUUAUUGUGCCAGUAAGCACUAGUGCAACGUGCACUAGUAUAGUGUAUGUGUUAAUGUGUGCAAGAUACUCACUUAUAAAGUGCACGUAAUUUAUGGGACAAGGUAAUUUCUUUGUUCUUGUUGAAUAACUAUUGUCAUCUAUGUUGUUGGACUCUCUCCAAAAAUGUUGUUGCAAUAUGACACAUUUAUCCGUAUAUUUUUGGAAAAUCUGAACAACAUAGAAUGUUAUUUGUUAGUAUGAUAUGUGUUGAUACAUUUGUGUUUUGUGAAUCUUAUCAAGCAAUUUCCAAGAAGAAAUUGAUGCAGAGUUUUGUUAACAAACAAGAAUGACACUCUAUUAAUAGAUGUAGGUGAAUGCAGAAGAAGUAGUGACAGAUAAAGAGUUUUUUUCACUUUCUUACUAGUGUUAUUCAUGUCAUUAUUUGUAGUCCACAAUUCCCUCAUUUAGUCUUUGUUCUUUGUAGUGUAUUAGUGUUACUGAUCAAUGUUUUAUAUAUGUAAGAACCGAAAAAAUUAAUCGAACUGAACUGAACCAAAAUUAUAGAAACGGAACUGAAUCGAAUUUAUUUCAGUUCAGUUUCAGUUUGUCUUUUUUCAAAUUGAAAUCUGAAAAAUUAAAUCGAACCGAAUAAACUGAAUGCCCAGCCCUACCUGCUUGAAGCACAAGUCUAACAUUUCCUCUCUGCGCGCGGGUCGCACGCUUGGGCUCUCGGCGGUGCGCCCAUGUGGUUGAUUUUGAAGCUGUUGCCUCUCCGUGUGCCGGUCGGGCACUUGGAAUUCCAGUUGUGCUCCCGCGCGGCUUGGAGGCGUGAAAUCAUUAAAAGAAGGGUAUUUUUGGAAUUUCAAAGAUAACCCUAUGCUAUAUGAUGUUAUAGCUUGCCCUAGGUCUAGGGAUCAUCGAUAAAAAGGAGCAGAAAGAGUGACGAUGAUAGGAAGGAAGAGGAAGACGCGGUACACUACUGAAAUCCAAAAUGGAAGUUAGGAUUCAAAGUUUGAUGCAUAUGUUUUCUUUUCUGUUUUUGUUCUUAGUAAACUUAUUCUCAUCCACAAAGUAGAUUCUUAGAGGGUCUUUGAAAAACAUGUGUAUUGAUAAAUUUGUUGGGAUUUUGAUUUUUAUUCUUAUGCUUGAACUUGUUAUGGGAAUUUAAAUUAAAUUGCAA